rnacentral:rRNA from 1 species
CAGCCGCCGCGGUAAUACAGAGGGUGCAAGCGUUAAUCGGAAUUACUGGGCGUAAAGCGCGCGUAGGUGGUUUGUUAAGUUGGAUGUGAAAUCCCUGAGCUUAACUUAGGAAUUGCAUUCGAUACUGGGAAGCUAGAGUAUGGGAGAGGAUGGUAGAAUUCCAGGUGUAGAGGUGAAAUGCGUAGAGAUCUGGAGGAAUACCGAUGGCGAAGGCAGCCAUCUGGCCUAAUACUGACGCUGAGGUACGAAAGCAUGGGGAGCAAACAGGAUUAGAUACCCCAGUAGUCCCUGUCUCUUAUAC